rnacentral:rRNA from 1 species
CUACGGGACGCUGCAGUGAGGAAUAUUGGUCAAUGGGCGCAAGCCUGAACCAGCCAUGCCGCGUGAAGGAUGACGGCCCUACGGGUUGUAAACUUCUUUUGUAAGGGAAGAAACCGCUCUACGUGUAGAGUUUUGACGGUACCUUACGAAUAAGCAUCGGCUAACUCCGUGCCAGCAGCCGCGGUAAUACGGAGGAUGCAAGCGUUAUCAGGAUUUAUUGGGUUUAAAGGGUGCGCAGGCGGAAAAUUAAGUCAGUGAUGAAAUCCUGCAGCUUAACUGUAGAACUGUUAUUGAUACUGGUUUUCUUGAAUAUAGUUGAGGUAGGCGGAAUGUGUAAUGUAGCGGUGAAAUGCUUAGAUAUUACACAGAACACCGAUUGCGAAGGCAGCUUACUAAGCUAUGAAUGACGCUGAGGCACGAAAGCGUGGGGAGCGAACAGGAUUAGAUACCCGAGUAGUC